AUUGAACGCUGGCGGCAGGCCUAACACAUGCAAGUCGAACGAGUGGCGGACGGGUGAGUAAUGUCUGGGAAACUGCCCGAUGGAGGGGGAUAACUACUGGAAACGGUAGCUAAUACCGCAUACCAUCGGAUGUGCCCAGAUGGGAUUAGCUAGUAGGUGGGGUAACGGCUCACCUAGGCGACGAUCCCUAGCUGGUCUGAGAGGAUGACCAGCAAACCUGGAACGGGGACACGGUCCAGCCUCCUAGGGGAGGAAGAGGGGGGAAAUAUUGCACAAUGGGCGCAAGCCUGAUGCAGCCAUGCCGGGUGUAUGAAGAAGGCCUUCGGGUUGUAAAGUACUUUAAGCGAGGAGGCGUUACUCGCAGAAGAAGCCCCGGCUAACUCCGUGCCAGCAGCCGCGGUAAUC
rnacentral:rRNA from 1 species